UGCCCCCUGGCAAUGGGCGAAGAGAUGCCCUGUUGGUGGUGGUGUUCUUACAUCAGUCAGGGGCAGAGCAGGUCGUAGUCCUUUGUUCAUCCUAGCUUGAUACCUGGCGUGCUGACCAAAGCUGUUUUAUGCCUAGGACACAUAC